AAACCAGGAUUAGAUACCCUAUUAUAUUUAAACAAAUUGGGUAGUAUUAUUAAUAAAAACCUUUAUACUUUGGCGGCAUUUUAUCUUAUUAGAGGAAUAUGUUCAUUAAUCGAAACCACACGAUAGUUUUUACUUACUAUAAAAUUUUAUAUACCCCCGUCUAAAGAAUUUAUUUAAAAUUUUUAUUCCAAAUUAUAUUAAAAAAAGUUAGGUAAAGGUGUAGACUAUUAGUAAGAUUAAAUGUAUUACAUUAAAAAAAAUUUAAGGAUAAAACAGUUAACUGUUUAUUAAAAGAGGAUUUAUAAGUAAUUUACUUUUAAUAAAAAUUAAUGAAUAAGAAAAUAAAUGUGCACAUAUCGCCCGUCACUCUCACAUA
rnacentral:rRNA from 1 species